UCUGUUUAUCCUCAUUCAUCUCUCUCUACAAGUGUCGGUAGUAGUAAGCACAGUCAGUGCUACUCUAUAAGUAAUAAUAAUAUUAUUCUCUUUGCUCCAUGAAUUCUUGCAGUUCCACUAGUGUCCCGAGAACCAGAGAAAGCUUUAGUUGUUGGUCCAAUUUACCGCCAAGCAGCUACGAGUGUUUUUGUUACUGCAUUGGCUGGCAACAUCGAGAAAUUUAGCCUGCCUAAAGGAGAGUUCUGCCACAAUAUGCCGAGCAAAGCGUAGACAGUCCAAAUAGCGCCGUUAAAGAAGAGGAAGAACGAUAGCCAAAACGGCAUGUACUUCACACUUCUCGUCUUCACAACUGUUUUCUGAUAGGAUCAAUAAUUCAAAUGAUCUGGAUUAAAACGACACUAUACGUGUAUAUAUCAGAAAGACUAUCUAAUGAUAAUAUAUACAAUGACAUUGAUAUGUUACUUACACAUGUGCUAAAAUGCUCUCCAGACAAUUUCUCUUA